AAUCAACGCUGGCGGCGCGCUUAACACAUGCAAGUCGAACGAGAAAGGGGAGCAAUCCCUGAGUAAAGUGGCGUACGGGUGAGUAACACGUGGGUGAUCUACCUUUUAGUGGGGGAUAACCCUGGGAAACCGGGGCUAAUACCGCAUAAUCCUGUGAAGGGAAAGCAGCACUGCGCUGAAAGAGGAGCCCGCGGCCGAUUAGCUAGUUGGUAGGGUAAUGGCCUACCAAGGCGACGAUCGGUAGCCGGCCUGAGAGGGCACACGGCCACACUGGCACUGAAACACGGGCCAGACUCCUACGGGAGGCAGCAGUGGGGAAUCUUGCACAAUGGAGGAAACUCUGAUGCAGCGACGCCGCGUGAGCGAUGAAGCCUUUCGGGUUGUAAACUCCUGUCGAGGGGGAAAAAGGGCCGCAAGGCCUCGAUUGAUCCCUGGAGGAAGCACGGGCUAAGUUCGUGCCAGCAGCCGCGGUAAGACGAACCGUGCGAACGUUAUUCGGAAUCAUUGGGCUUAAAGCGCGUGUAGGCGGGUUCGUGCGUCUGUCGCUGAAAUCCCCCGGCUCAACCGGGGAACGGGCGCGGAUACGACGAGCCUGGAGGGGCAUAGGGGGACCUGGAACUUCCGGUGGAGCGGUGAAAUGCGUUGAGAUCGGAAGGAACGCCCGUGGCGAAAGCGAGGUCCUGGAUGCCUACUGACGCUGAGACGCGAAAGCCAGGGGAGCGAACGGGAUUAGAUACCCCGGUAGUCCUGGCCGUAAACGAUGGGUACUGGAUAGGGGGCUCGCCGAUGGGCUCCCUGUCGUAGGGAAACCGUGAAGUACCCCGCCUGGGGAGUAUGGUCGCAAGGCUGAAACUCAAAUGAAUUGACGGGG
rnacentral:rRNA from 1 species